rnacentral:rRNA from 1 species
AGUGAACGCUGGCGGUAGGCCUAACACAUGCAAGUCGAACGGCAGCACAGUAAGAGCUUGCUCUUACGGGUGGCGAGUGGCGGACGGGUGAGGAAUAUAUCGGAAUCUACUUUUUCGUGGGGGAUAACGUAGGGAAACUUACGCUAAUACCGCAUACGACCUACGGGUGAAAGCAGGGGAUCUUCGGACCUUGCGCGAUUGAAUGAGCCGAUGUCGGAUUAGCUAGUUGGCGGGGUAAAGGCCCACCAAGGCGACGAUCCGUAGCUGGUCUGAGAGGAUGAUCAGCCACACUGGAACUGAGACACGGUCCAGACUCCUACGGGAGGCAGCAGUGGGGAAUAGUGGACAAUGGGCGCAAGCCUGAUCCAGCCAUACCGCGUGGGUGAAGAAGGCCUUCGGGUUGUAAAGCCCUUUUGUUGGGAAAGAAAAGCAGCAGGUUAAUACCCCGCUGUUCUGACGGUACCCAAAGAAUAAGCACCGGCUAACUUCGUG